rnacentral:ribozyme from 1 species
AAAAAGGGAAAGAAACAAAAAGAAGAAGACUAAAAAAAGGAAAGAAUAAAAAAGAAUUUUUUGGUUCCUGAGGCUCCAGUGGUGUCUGUGAACCGUUUUAAUCUCCGGUUUCUUCAUCA